UACGAAGGGGGCUAGCGUUGUUCGGAUUUACUGGGCGUAAAGGGCGCGUAGGCGGGUUGCUAAGUCAGGGGUGAAAUGCCGGGGCUCAACCUCGGAACUGCCUUUGAUACUGGCGAUCUUGAGUCCGGGAGAGGUGAGUGGAACUGCGAGUGUAGAGGUGAAAUUCGUAGAUAUUCGCAAGAACACCAGUGGCGAAGGCGGCUCACUGGCCCGGAACUGACGCUGAGGCGCGAAAGCGUGGGGAGCAAACAGG
rnacentral:rRNA from 1 species